CUUCCCAACAGUCUCAUACAGACUAAACCAGUAGAUGCCAGUGUGCCUGAUCACUCCCCUAUCAAACUCAUUGCCGAUCAACUUUUCUGGCAUCCAUUUGUUUUGCUUUGGCUGCUGUCAUUGCUAGCGAGAAUUAGCUGCCUAGCUUCUGGUAAUUAGACUCCAAAUGUGACUUUUUUACCACAGUGAAAUUAAUUUCUUUCGAAAAAGGAACACUUGGGGAAGUUCGGAGAUGGUUUUUGUCCAACGGGGAAGCUACGUGUGGCGUAUGCGUCAAUGAGGCAGGCGUGAUGUGGAUUAUCUGGCCGCUGCUUUGACCUCAGCUGUCCUCGCCGUGACCAGACGACAGAGGUCACAGCAAAAAGACAUGAUGUAGGACAUCUGCUUUACAGCCUCCCUGCCACUAAGCAGCAUCAGCAGACCCCUAAUGGCUGUCGAGGAGGAACGGGUGUGUGACAUGAGCGUCUCAGGGGUCUCAUAAAACACGUUCUAAAGUGCCACUUCAUCCUCAAGCUUGAGCCGCUGCUUUUGCAAGUAAUGAUCCCACACGGCGUGGUAAAAGUGCAGCGUUUCUGCUUGAACUCUGCCCAAACAGGCAGCUCUUUUACUGUCUGUUUAUGUAGACUCCCACCGAGGUGGCAUGGAAUGUGCCUCCAUCGCACACAUUCAUCUGAGUCUGCCUCGACUUGCUGAUAUGUUGAAUUUGAACUCGGGGGCAAAUGUUUUGAUUAAAAAGACUGUU